GGUCACAGGGGUCACCAGGCCACCACCAGGUCACCGUGGCCACCUCAAACGGGACCCCCUAGGCCACCCUGGGGUCACUGUGGCCACCUCUGGGUCACUGUGGCCACCACGGCCACCGGGGUCACGGGGGUCAUCAGGGUCAUGGGGCCACCCCCAGGCCACUGUGACCACUUCCAGGCCACUGUGGCCACCAGGGUCACCAGGCCACCCCCAGGCUAAUGUGGCCACCUCAAACAGGACCCCCCAGGCCACUGUGGCCACUGUGGCCACCUCCAGGACACCGUGGCCACCCCAAGGUCACUGUGGCCACCUCAGGGUCACCCCCAGGUCACCGUGGCCACCCCAAGCAGGACCCACUAGCCCAGGAGGACACAGGGACAAACUGGGCUGAACUGGGAGGGAAAAUCCCCAAAAUUUUAUCCCCAAAAUCCCCAAAAUUU